rfam:Oryza punctata chromosome 5, whole genome shotgun sequence.
AAAGAACACAGUUUUGCGUUUUUGUUCUAACGUUUAACCGUUCGUCUUAUUUGAAAAAAAUUAUGAUUGGUAUUUUUAUUGUUAUUGAUGAUAAAACACGAAUAAUACUUUAAGCGUGACUAAUUUUUGUUAAUUUUUUAAUAAAAUUUUCAAAUAAGACGAACAGUUAAACGUUGGAUAUGGAAAUUGACAACUGCACUUAUA